rnacentral:rRNA from 2 species
AGACCCGAAACCCGGUGAUCUAGCCAUGGGCAGGUUGAAGGUUGGGUAACACUAACUGGAGGACCGAACCGACUAAUGUUGAAAAAUUAGCGGAUGACCUGUGGCUGGGGGUGAAAGGCCAAUCAAACCGGGAGAUAGCUGGUUCUCCCCGAAAGCUAUUUAGGUAGCGCCUCGUGAAUUCAUCUCCGGGGGUAGAGCACUGUUUCGGCUAGGGGGCCAUCCCGGCUUACCAACCCGAUGCAAACUGCGAAUACCGGAGAAUGUUAUCACGGGAGACACACGGCGGGUGCUAACGUCCGUCGUGAAGAGGGAAACAACCCAGACCGCCAGCUAAGGUCCCAAAGUCAUGGUUAAGUGGGAAACGAUGUGGGAAGGCCCAGACAGCCAGGAUGUUGGCUUAGAAGCAGCCAUCAUUUAAAGAAAGCGUAAUAGCUCACUGGUCGAGUCGGCCUGCGCGGAAGAUGUAACGGGGCUAAACCAUGCACCGAAGCUGCGGCAGCGACACUGUGUGUUGUUGGGUAGGGGAGCGUUCUGUAAGCCUGUGAAGGUGUGUCGUGAGGCAUGCUGGAGGUAUCAGAAGUGCGAAUGCUGACAUAAGUAACGAUAAAGCGGGUGAAAAGCCCGCUCGCCGGAAGACCAAGGGUUCCUGUCCAACGUUAAUCGGGGCAGGGUGAGUCGACCCCUAAGGCGAGGCCGAAAGGCGUAGUCGAUGGGAAACGGGUUAAUAUUCCCGUACUUGGUGUUACUGCGAAGGGGGGACGGAGAAGGCUAUGUUGGCCGGGCGACGGUUGUCCCGGUUUAAGCGUGUAGGUGUGUGUUCCAGGUAAAUCCGGUUCACUUUAACACUGAGGCGUGACGACGAGGCACUACGGUGCUGAAGCAACAAAUGCCCUGCUUCCAGGAAAAGCCUCUAAGCAUCAGGUAACAUCAAAUCGUACCCCAAACCGACACAGGUGGUCAGGUAGAGAAUACCAAGGCGCUUGAGAGAACUCGGGUGAAGGAACUAGGCAAAAUGGUGCCGUAACUUCGGGAGAAGGCACGCUGACACGUAGGUGAAGUGAUUUACUC